rnacentral:rRNA from 1 species
GAUGAACGCUGGCGGCGUGCCUAACACAUGCAAGUCGAACGAAGCAAUUGAAGGAAGUUUUCGGAUGGAAUUCGAUUGACUGAGUGGCGGACGGGUGAGUAACGCGUGGAUAACCUGCCUCACACUGGGGGAUAACAGUUAGAAAUGACUGCUAAUACCGCAUAAGCGCACAGUACCGCAUGGUACAGUGUGAAAAACUCCGGUGGUGUGAGAUGGAUCCGCGUCUGAUUAGCCAGUUGGCGGGGUAACGGCCCACCAAAGCGACGAUCAGUAGCCGACCUGAGAGGGUGACCGGCCACAUUGGGACUGAGACACGGCCCAAACUCCUACGGGAGGCAGCAGUGGGGAAUAUUGCACAAUGGGCGAAAGCCUGAUGCAGCGACGCCGCGUGAGUGAAGAAGUAUUUCGGUAUGUAAAGCUCUAUCAGCAGGGAAGAAAAUGACGGUACCUGACUAAGAAGCCCCGGCUAACUACGUG